UGGGGCGUGGCCAAGUGGUAAGGCAACGAGUUUUGGUCCCGUUAAUUGGAGGUUCGAAUCCUCCCGUCCUAG
rnacentral:tRNA from 2 species